rnacentral:lncRNA from 1 species
CAGACAUCUUAGAUAUGCCAAGAUAUUAUCCCAACUCCUUCAAUUUUAUGGAGAUCCAAAGAGGCUCCCAGUCAUUCCUCAGAAGGGGCAGAAGGAAUGCUGACCAGAACAUCAUAAAUGAAGUUGUGUGAAAUGGACUCUAUGGGAGUAAGCCCUGUGUUUAAUCCUGCAAAGAAUCUCAGGCCUUCCCAAGGAGUGCUUUGGAUGUCUUCACACCUCCCCCCAGUCAGCUCCCUGACUGAGAGUAGAAAUAAUGAAAACUAGAAGACAAUGUACGGAUAUACUCAAAGUCCUAAGAGAAAAUGACUGCUAAGAUAGAGGCAUACCGAGAUCUCAUCACCAGCAAGCACACACUCGAGGAAACAUCAAUGGGUAUUCUUCUGACAUAAUCAUCUGCAGUAGAAAUAAGAAGAUGGGAGGAGUGAAGAAAAAUGAGAAAAGUGACUAUGAGGUAAACCUAAGUGAAUUUGACUAUACUGUAUUUCGGAAUUUAAAAUAGAGAGUAUAAAGAUAACCAGCUAAAAAGUUGAAGGAAUAUCAAAAUA